UACGGAGGAUCCAAGCGUUAUCCGGAAUCAUUGGGUUUAAAGGGUCCGUAGGCGGUUUAAUAAGUCAGUGGUGAAAGCCCAUCGCUCAACGGUGGAACGGCCAUUGAUACUGUUAGACUUGAAUUAUUAGGAAGUAACUAGAAUUAUGUAGUGUAGCGGUGAAAUGCUUAGAGAUUACAUGGAAUACCAAUUGCGAAGGCAGGUUACUACUAAUGGAUUGACGCUGAUGGACGAAAGCGUGGGUAGCGAACAGG
rnacentral:rRNA from 1 species